GCUUGCUUUCUUUGCUGGCGACCGGCGCACGGGUGAGUAACACGUAUCCAACCUACCCUUUACUCGGGGAUAGCCUUUCGAAAGAAAGAUUAAUACCCGAUAGCAUAAUGAUUCCGCAUGGUUUCAUUAUUAAAGGAUUCCGGUAAAGGAUGGGGAUGCGUUCCAUUAGGUUGUUGGUGGGGUAACGGCCCACCAAGCCUUCGAUGGAUUGGGGUUCUGAGAGGAAGGUCCCCCACAUUGGAACUGAGACACGGUCCAAACUCCUACGGGAGGCAGCAUG
rnacentral:rRNA from 1 species